UACGUAGGGGGCAAGCGUUGUCCGGAAUCAUUGGGCGUAAAGAGCGUGUAGGCGGCCAGAUAAGUCCGCUGUGAAAUCUCGAGGCUCAACUUCGAGCUGUCGGUGGAAACUGUCUGGCUAGAGUCCGGAAGAGGAGAAUGGAAUUCCUGGUGUAGCGGUGAAAUGCGCAGAUAUCAGGAAGAACACCCGUGGCGAAGGCGGCUCUCUGGGACGGUACUGACGCUGAGGUGCGAAAGCGUGGGGAGCAAACAGG
rnacentral:rRNA from 1 species